rnacentral:rRNA from 1 species
GAUGAACGCUGGCGGCGUGCCUAAUACAUGCAAGUCGAGCGAACAGACGAGGAUCUUGCUCCUCUGACGUUAGCGGCGGACGGGUGAGUAACACGUGGAUAACCUCCCUAUAAGACUGGGAUAACUUCGGGAACCCGGAGCUAAUACCGGAUAAUAUAUUCAACCGCAUGGUUCACUAGUGAAAGACGGUUUUGCUGUCACGUAUAGAUGGAUCCGCGCCGCAUUAGCUAGUUGGUAAGGUAACGGUUUACCAAGGCAACGAUGCAUAGCCGACCUGAGAGGGUGAUCGUCCACACUGGAACUGAGACACGGUCCAGACUCCUACGGGAGGCAGCAGUAGGGAAUCUUCCGCAAUGGGCGAAAGCCUGACGGAGCAACGCCGCGUGGGUGAUGAAGGUCUUCGGAUCGUAAAACUCUGUUAUUAGGGAAGAACAAAUGUGUAAGUAACUAUGCACGUCUUGACGGUACCUAAUCAGAAAGCCACGGCUAACUACGUG